AUAUUGACAACAUAUAACUUUUUGUUAAUAUUAAAUUAUAGAAUUUAUUUUCAUCUUUAUUUGAAAUGUUAAUUAUAUAUUGAAAACAUAAAAAUAGUUACAUUAUUUGAGUAUUUUAUUAUAUAAAUCUUGGUUUUCAAAGUUAGUAACUCGUAUGAUCUUGAUCAGAUGAUGCACAAACUUUGUAGACAUCAUGGUUAACCUAACAUAAAUUUAUCUAAGUUAAUCAAAAGAAUCUUACAAAUUAAAAAAUGAUUAGGUCGAGGUGAAGAGAACAAAUUACCACAUAGUGUUGUAAUUAGACGGACAUAUAUGUUUAAGUUAAUAAUGGGCUUUACCUCUAUUUGGGUUGAGCUCAACCUUACUCGAUUAACAAAAAAUCUGAAGGUCGCGUGUUUGAUCUACGCUCACCGCACCAUUUGUUAAGAAUAAGAAACGUAAUCUCUAUUUCUUAACUUCCGAUACACCGUUUCACAAAAGAUUGAGCCACCGGCACAUCACCGAUUCAUAACUCUCUCUCACAAGCGACACAUACGUUACUAAACAUUCAUCAAACAAUGCAUAAAACUAAUUACAAGUCUAAUCUCAGUAUUUAUAUACAAUUGUUUCUUAAUUUUUCUUCUUUCUUCUCUUCACUCACGUGAUCAAUACUAAACUUUGACUCUCUCUUGUUACGACCACAAAUUUUUGACGUAUCGAAAUGGUUGUCAGUCUAAUAAAAAACCGUAAAUAAAAUCUAGUAAAAUCUCUGUUAAAUUAAUAGUGUUGGAAUCAAAAUAUUUUGAUUUAUAGUGAUAAGUUAUCUCUAA
rnacentral:sRNA from 1 species